rnacentral:rRNA from 1 species
UACGUAGGGUGCAAGCGUUAAUCGGAAUUACUGGGCGUAAAGCGUGCGCAGGCGGUUAUGUAAGACAGAUGUGAAAUGCCCGGGCUUAACCUGGGAACUGCAUUUGUGACUGCAUGGCUAGAGUUUGGCAGAGGGGGGUAGAAUUCCACGUGUAGCAGUGAAAUGCGUAGAGUAUGUGGAGGAACACCGAUGGCGAAGGCAGCCCCCUGGGUCAAGAUUGACGCUCAUGCACGAAAGGCGUGGGGAGCAAACAGGAUUAGAAACCGACG